UACGUAGGGUGCAAGCGUUGUCCGGAAUUAUUGGGCGUAAAGAGCUCGUAGGCGGUUCGUCGCGUCGGCUGUGAAAUCCCGAGGCUCAACCUCGGGUCUGCAGUCGAUACGGGCGGACUGGAGUUCGGCAGGGGAGACUGGAAUUCCGUGGUGUAGCGGUGAAAUGCGCAGAUAAUCAGGAGGAACACCGUGGCGAAGGCAGGUCUCGUGG
rnacentral:rRNA from 1 species